AACUUGUUACUAUUAUAAAUACCUUUUUUAAGUAAAAGUAUAAAUAUGCAAAAUAUGGGCAUAAACGUAUUGAUGUGUAUUAAUGCUAAUGUUAAUCAAAACAAUUUAGACUAAAUAAAAAAUUACGCAAACGUAGACGUAAUAAGACAUUUGUGCACAUUCCCCUGUAGUAGAUGCAACACGCGCAACACACAGAUUUUAUCGACAGCACGGACAACAACCCACAUCCAUUACACGCGACACUGUUUUUAACGGCAGGUCGCAAAAUAGAUGUGACUUUUUAGUUCACAUUCCGGCCAGACCAGAAUGGAUGUCAGCAGUGUAAUCUGCGUAAUAAUCAUUUAAAAGUUUUCUGGAGCACUGCUUUGGAACGCAUGCAUAUUCUUACUUUUGUUAUUGUUUAAAUGAUUAUUUUUAUUAUUUAAUUGUGUUAUCGUCGGCAUAUUACGCGGUUUGUUGCUAAUCGAGUAGUUGUAAAAGAAAAAAUUUCAUCGUGUGACCACGUGCUGUUGUCUGAUUGAGGUUAUCUGACCAUGUGAAUGAUAAAAUCACGUGUAAAUAAUUGUUUUAACAAGAAAGACAGGAAUAACUUUGCUAACAAAACAUUUAUAGUGAACUGAAUUAAAUAUUUUGCGAUCAUGACGAAAGUUAAACGAGCUAGUGAUAAUGGAUGGAAGCCUGUAACGUUGGAAGGCACCUUAUUGUCCAACAGUAUAGAAGGGUUAAUUGGAAUAGAGGAGUUGACGGAUUAUAAUUUAGAGCGUAGCAGUAAAAAAGGCAAACUUGUAACUGUAGAGGUGAAAUCUACCGAGAAAAAGAAAUCAGUGUCAAAGCGUAAAUGCCUGAAAGAAGAACGGGAAGAGAUUAAUAUUGAUAAUAUUGAGCCUUCCGCAAAGAAAGCAAAGAUUAAGAAAGCAAAAAGCACGAAGAAAAAGAAGGCAGUUAAGUCAACAGACUUGAAAAUUGCUGAUCAGAAUCGACAGAUCGAUUCUGAUAGUGAUUUGUCCUGUGACAUGGAUAGCAGUAAAAAAGAAAGUUUGGCAGAGAUCAAUAUUGGUGCAUGGAGCUCCAUGGGUGUUCCUGCUGCUGUGAUAAAAGCUCUAGCUGAUCAGAAUUUUCAUUCUCCCACUAUGAUACAAGCACAAACAUUGCCAGCUGCUAUAUUGGGCCGCAGAGAUAUAUUAGGUGCUGCUGAAACUGGCAGCGGCAAGACGUUAGCAUUUGGUAUUCCUAUUAUAAAAGGUAUCUUGGAUUUAAAAAGUCAGAAUGAUGGUCAAAAUUGCCCAGUGAAAGAAAUUGGAGAGACUGAUUCAGAAAAUGAAGAUCUAUCACAAAAUUGUGUGAAUGUUGUGAAUAAUGCAAAGCUUGAUGAUCAUAAUACUCCAAUCAAGCCCUUCUAUGCAUUAAUUCUAACUCCAACUCGUGAAUUAGCAGUUCAAAUAAAGAACCAUCUUACCCAGGCAGCAAAAUAUACAGAUAUUAAGAUAGCUAUUGUCCUUGGAGGCAUGGCAGCAGUGAAGCAAGAAAGAAUAUUAAACAAAGGUCCCGAAAUCGUAAUUGCCACACCUGGAAGAUUAUGGGAAUUAAUUGAAGAAGGCAACUCUCAUUUAAAUCAAAUAGAUUCUGUCAGAUAUUUAGCUAUUGAUGAGACAGAUAGAAUGAUGGAAAAGGGUCAUUUUCAAGAACUGCACGAUAUAUUGGAAAAAAUGAAUGCAAAUCCGGAGAAGCGGAAGAAACGGCAGACAUUUGUUUUUUCAGCUACCUUGACUAUGGUGCACGAUCUUCCAGAUUAUCUCGAUAAGAAAAAGAAGCGAUACGCUAGGAGUAAAAUAUGUAAACUCACUUCCGACCAGAAAUUACAAAAAAUUAUACAGUUGUUAAAAAUAAAAAAUCCUAAGGUCGUUGAUCUUACAAAACAGUCAGGUAUGGCCGAUAACUUAACAGAAUGUCGAAUAGCGUGCACAAUUGACCAUAAGGACUAUUACCUUUAUUACUUCUUAAAGAGACACAAUGGAAGAACGUUAGUAUUUUGUAACAGUAUUGGCUGUGUAAAAAGAUUGGCCACUCUUUUCAGUAUACUUGAAUGCAAGCCUUUACCUCUGCACGCCAAUAUGCAACAGCGGCAACGUUUAAAAAAUCUCGAAAGAUUUCAAGCUGACGAGAACGGACUGUUGAUAGCUACGGAUGUAGCUGCGCGAGGUUUAGAUAUACCUAAUAUAGAGCAUGUGAUACACUAUCAGGUUCCGAGGACAGCCGAGAAUUAUGUACAUAGAAGUGGUAGAACGGCAAGAGCGCAAAAGGAAGGUAUCACAGUUCUAAUAAUGGAACCUUCCGAGAAACAGAAUUACACCAAGUUAUGCAAAACUCUCGGACGCACGCAUGAUUUGCCUGUAUUUCCGGUGAUAGACAAAAUACUAAUUACCAUAAAGGAAAGAGUCGAUGUCGCUCGCGAUAUUGAUAAGCUAGAACUAAAAAGCCGUCGGCAGAAUAAUCAGAAAAGUUGGCUACGAAAAGCGGUAGAGGAUAUGGAUAUGAUUUUGGACGAGGACGACGAGGAUGAAUCAUCAACGGAAUCAGAAGAAGCAGCAGCAUUGAAACGUCAAUUAAAGGUGAAGAAAAAUCAACUACGAUCAUUAUUAUCAAAGCCAGUAUUUCCGAAAGGAUUCUCGGGAAAAUAUCUUGAUGAUAAUUUGGACGUAAAUGUAAUUCAGGAUGCACAGAAAGCUGUCGAAGUGAUGAGAAAAGUAAUAGAAAGUAACACUGAUAAAGAAAAAAAAUUGCUUGCACUCUUUGUGUCAUGUCGCCUUGAUAACAAUCAAAGAACCUGGAGAGGAGUUGCAGCAACCGGAGCAAGGAAUCGGACGUUGACCCAUGGUUCGGGUAGGCCCUCAUAGAAACUGCGUUAAACGUUGCAACGUGCUUGAAGAAUUCAUCCUAAUUCAGACUGUAUGCUGGCAUGAAAGAAAAAUUUCUCCUUUCAAACUAGAACGGAUAAUAGAGCUUUGUCACCGGCACACGUGGCUAGGAUAAAAUUAUCAUACAUAUAUAGCUACUUAUCGACACGUAUCGUCGAGUGGCCCUGAUUCCCAGCAGAUUUCUUGUUCGUCCCGGACUACGGAUUCUACGUAAUUACAGAAUUGAAUAGCAGAUUGCACCCGAGAUUGGUGACAGCGAUGGAUAUCGAUGGAAUCGGGAAUGCUUCGAUGCGAGAGAUCGUCGGUGAUCGGCGUGACGUCCCAGGAUAACAUUUAAGUUAUUUGCGAGAUGGAAAGGCAUGAAGUUUUCAAUUCGCGGAGAUUCCCGGCUUCCGAGAAGAGAGCUCAACGUAACACAACGGCGAAGAAAACUCUCGCGGACUGUGCGUGAGAUCGGCAACACCCACGUCGCCUAACCAGCAGCUUUCACAUUUCCCAUAACCGCGACCGAGUGCGAUUCCACGCCUAAGAUUCCCGGCCGAACGGGAGUCGUCGGCUCAUCGCUUCCUUACUGAUGAGGAGUCGUGCGAAUCGGCGACUGUUUUACGCAACGUCGACGAAACGACGAGAGUCGCUCUGACGGGGAGGCGGAAACAAGAUCUCAUGGGUUACCUCAUUCCGCGCGUAUUGUGCGCAACGUAUUGCAAUUAAAAUCUCCGUCUGUUCGAUAUUGCGACGGAGAAAUCACGCACAAAAAAGCGGAUAGUGCGAAAUAUCGGGCGUUGCGUAAUGAAGAUUUGGGUCAAGUGAGCAAAAUCGUAUCAAGGAUAUGGUAACGAAAACGAUCAAGAUAAAUUCGGAAAGGACGAAGAUUCUUAGGAUGCUCGGGGAAAGUCCCGGGUGAUAAAAUCCGCAAGGUAAUCGCGCAACACUGUCACUCGACUUCGAAGAAUCACGAAUGGAAUCCGUUAUUGGCUUACCAGUAUCAUCGUGCUGCGAAGAAUACGCACUUUUAUACAGCGGUUUUUAUCGUCAGCGAUCAACUUGACGAAUCAGCUGGUCGGAAGGACAGAUGGAAGCACGUUUCACCUUGCUUUGAAAGACUGCAAUGGCUUAAAGAUUAAAGCUAGACAGGAUUAUUUUAUCGAUUGUCUUACUUUCUCCAUUCUGCGCUUCAAAAGACCUCCCAGUUUGCAACUUGAUGCGGUAAGGAAAC